rnacentral:rRNA from 1 species
UACGGAGGGGGCUAGCGUUAAUCGGAAUUACUGGGCGUAAAGCGUGCGCAGGCGGUGAUGUAAGACAGAUGUGAAAUCCCCGGGCUCAACCUGGGAACUGCAUUUGUGACUGCAUCGCUGGAGUGCGGCAGAGGGGGAUGGAAUUCCGCGUGUAGCAGUGAAAUGCGUAGAUAUGCGGAGGAACACCGAUGGCGAAGGCAAUCCCCUGGGCCGCACUGACGCUCAUGCACGAAAGCGUGG